CAUAGUGGCGCACGGGUGCGUAACACGUAUGCAACCUACCUUAUACUGAGGGAUAGCCUUUCGAAAGGGAGAUUAAUACCUCAUAACACAUUGAACUGGCAUCAGUUUAUUGUUAAAGAUUUAUUGGUAUAAGAUGGGCAUGCGUCCAAUUAGUUAGUUGGCGAGGUAACGGCUCACCAAGACGAUGAUUGGUAGGGGAACUGAGAGGUUAAUCCCCCACACUGGCACUGAGAUACGGGCCAGACUCCUACGGGAGGCAGCAGUAGGGAAUAUUGGGCAAUGGAGGCAACUCUGACCCAGCCAUGCCGCGUGCAGGAAGAAGGCGUUAUGCGUUGUAAACUGCUUUUAUAUAGGAAGAAAUAGACCUUGCGAGGUAAGUUGACGGUACUAUAUGAAUAAGCACCGGCUAACUCCGUGCCAGCAGCCGCGGUAAUACGGAGGGUGCAAGCGUUGUCCGGAUUUAUUGGGUUUAAAGGGUGCGUAGGCGGUUUAUUAAGUCAGUGGUGAAAGACGGCCGCUCAACGAUUGCAGUGCCAUUGAUACUGGUAGACUUGAGUGGGAUUGAGGUAGCUGGAAUGGAUAGUGUANGCGGUGAAGUGCAUAGAUAUUAUCCGGAACACCAAUUGCGUAGGCAAGUUACUAGGUCUCAACUGACGCUGAG
rnacentral:rRNA from 1 species